rnacentral:rRNA from 1 species
GACGAACGCUGGCGGCGUGCUUAACACAUGCAAGUCGAACGGAAAGGCCCUGCUUUUGUGGGGUGCUCGAGUGGCGAACGGGUGAGUAACACGUGAGUAACCUGCCCUUGACUUUGGGAUAACUUCAGGAAACUGGGGCUAAUACCGGAUAGGAGCUCCUGCUGCAUGGUGGGGGUUGGAAAGUUUCGGCGGUUGGGGAUGGACUCGCGGCUUAUCAUCUUGUUGGUGGGGUAGUGGCUUACCAAGGCUUUGACGGGUAGCCGGCCUGAGAGGGUGACCGGCCACAUUGGGACUGAGGUACGGCCCAGACUCCUACGGGAGGCAGCAGUGGGGAAUAUUGCACAAUGGGCGGAAGCCUGAUGCAGCAACGCCGCGUGCGGGAUGACGGCCUUCGGGUUGUAAACCGCUUUCGCCUGUGACGAAGCGUGAGUGACGGUAAUGGGUAAAGAAGCACCGGCUAACUACGUG